GGUGGCUCUCAGAUGAAGCUCCCUAGAAUUGGGCUCUCUCCUCUCUGGUUCUGGGGUUCGUCACCUGAGACUGGCC
rfam:Myotis davidii contig70154, whole genome shotgun sequence.